GACGAACGCUGGCGGCGUGCUUAACACAUGCAAGUCGAACGGAAAGGCCCCUUUGGGGGUACUCGAGUGGCGAACGGGUGAGUAACACGCGAGUAACCUGCCCUUGACUUCGGGAUAACUUCAGGAAACUGGGGCUAAUACCGGAUAGGAAUCCUUGCUGCAUGGUGGGGGUUGGAAAGCUUCGGCGGUUUUGGAUGGACUCGCGGCUUAUCAGCUUGUUGGUGGGGUAGUGGCUUACCAAGGCUUUGACGGGUAGCCGGCCUGAGAGGGCGACCGGCCACAUUGGGACUGAGAUACGGCCCAGACUCCUACGGGAGGCAGCAGGGGGGAAUAUUGCACAAUGGGCGGAAGCCUGAUGCAGCAACGCCGCGUGCGGGAUGACGGCCUUCGGGUUGUAAACCGCUUUCAGCAGGGGCGAAGCUUGUGGUGACGGUACCUGCAGAAGAAGCACCGGCUAACUACGUG
rnacentral:rRNA from 1 species